UACGGAGGGUGCAAGCGUUAUCCGGAUUCACUGGGGUUAAAGGGUGCGUAGGCGGAAUGAUAAGUCAGUGGUGAAAGCCCCGAGCUCAACUUGGGAAUUGCCAUUGAUACUGUUGUUCUUGAGUUCGGUUGAGGUAGGCGGAAUGUUGCAUGUAGCGGUGAAAUGCUUAGAUAUGCAACAGAACACCGAUUGCGAAGGCAGCUUACCAAGCCGACACUGACGCUGAGGCACGAAAGCGUGGGGAUCAAACAGG
rnacentral:rRNA from 1 species